rnacentral:misc_RNA from 1 species
CCGAAUUGUCGACACGAGUUGUUGCUGGUCCUCAAUCGGGGACACGUGCACACUCUGUUUACACAUCCACUCACACCUGUGCACCCUCCAUAGUUCUGCAGCCUGGGGGCUCUCUGUUCCCUGCCGUGGUUCUAUGUAUUUACACAUACACACAGUAGUCAAGUCUCAUGGAAUGCAUACCGCGUUUAACGCAAUAUAAUA